rnacentral:rRNA from 1 species
AGCGAACGCUGGCGGCAGGCUUAACACAUGCAAGUCGAGCGGACGUAGCAAUACGUUAGCGGCAGACGGGUGAGUAACACGUGGGAACGUGCCCUUUGGUUCGGGAUAACCCAGGGAAACCUGGGCUAAUACCGGAUAAGCCCUUACGGGGAAAGAUUUAUCGCCAAAGGAUCGGCCCGCGUCUGAUUAGCUAGUUGGUGGGGUAACGGCCCACCAAGGCUACGAUCAGUAGCUGGUCUGAGAGGAUGAUCAGCCACAUUGGGACUGAGACACGGCCCAAACUCCUACGGGAGGCAGCAGUGGGGAAUAUUGGACAAUGGGCGCAAGCCUGAUCCAGCCAUGCCGCGUGAGUGAUGAAGGCCCUAGGGUUGUAAAGCUCUUUUGUGCGGGAAGAUAAUGACGGUACCGCAAGAAUAA